UAUUUAUGAUGACAUAGGACCUUGUCUGAACAUGAUGAUUUCAAAGUUUGAGCUUAAAAGGACAAAAAAAAAAA
ensembl:snoRNA